rnacentral:rRNA from 1 species
AGAGUUUGAUCCUGGCUCAGGAUGAACGCUGGCGGCGUGCCUAAUACAUGCAAGUCGAACGCUUCACUUCGGUGAAGAGUGGCGAACGGGUGAGUAAUACAUAAGUAACCUGGCAUCUACAGGGGGAUAACUGAUGGAAACGUCAGCUAAGACCGCAUAGGUGUAGAGAUCGCAUGAACUCUAUAUGAAAAGUGCUACGGGACUGGUAGAUGAUGGACUUAUGGCGCAUUAGCUAGUUGGUAGGGUAACGGCCUACCAAGGCGACGAUGCGUAGCCGACCUGAGAGGGUGACCGGCCACACUGGGACUGAGACACGGCCCAGACUCCUACGGGAGGCAGCAGUAGGGAAUUUUCGGCAAUGGGGGAAACCCUGACCGAGCAACGCCGCGUGAAGGAAGAAGUAAUUCGUUAUGUAAACUUCUGUCAUAGAGGAAGAACGGUGGAUAUAGGGAAUGAUAUCCAAGUGACGGUACUCUAUAAGAAAGCCACGGCUAACUACGUGCCAGCAGCCGCGGUAAUACGUAGGUGGCGAGCGUUAUCCGGAAUUAUUGGGCGUAAAGAGGGAGCAGGCGGCACUAAGGGUCUGUGGUGAAAGAUCGAAGCUUAACUUCGGUAAGCCAUGGAAACCGUAGAGCUAGAGUGUGUGAGAGGAUCGUGGAAUUCCAUGUGUAGCGGUGAAAUGCGUAGAUAUAUGGAGGAACACCAGUGGCGAAGGCGACGAUCUGGCGCAUAACUGACGCUCAGUCCCGAAAGCGUGGGGAGCAAAUAGGAUUAGAUACCCUAGUAGUCCACGCCGUAAACGAUGAGUACUAAGUGUUGGGAGUCAAAUCUCAGUGCUGCAGUUAACGCAAUAAGUACUCCGCCUGAGUAGUACGUUCGCAAGAAUGAAACUCAAAGGAAUUGACGGGGG